GAUGAACGCUGGCGGCGUGCCUAAUACAUGCAAGUCGAGCGAACGGACGAGAAGCUUGCUUCUCUGAUGUUAGCGGCGGACGGGUGAGUAACACGUGGAUAACCUACCUAUAAGACUGGGAUAACUUCGGGAAACCGGAGCUAAUACCGGAUGAUAUUUUGAACCGCAUGGUUCAAUAGUGAAAGACGGUCUUGCUGUCACUUAUAGAUGGAUCCGCGCUGCAUUAGCUAGUUGGUAAGGUAACGGCUUACCAAGGCAACGAUGCAUAGCCGACCUGAGAGGGUGAUCGGCCACACUGGAACUGAGACACGGUCCAGACUACUACGGGAGGCAGCAGUAGGGAAUCUUCCGCAAUGGGCGAAAGCCUGACGGAGCAACGCCGCGUGAGUGAUGAAGGUCUUCGGAUCGUAAAACUCUGUUAUUAGGGAAGAACAUAUGUGUAAGUAACUGUGCACAUCUUGACGGUACCUAAUCAGAAAGCCACGGCUAACUACGUG
rnacentral:rRNA from 1 species